GACGAACGCUGGCGGCGUGCUUAACACAUGCGAGUCGAACGGAAGGGCCCUGCUUGCCGGGUACUCGAGUGGCGAACGGGUGAGUAACACGUGGGUGAUCUGCCCUGCACUUCGGGAUAAGCCUGGGAAACUGGGUCUAAUACCGGAUAGGAGCCAUUUUUAGUGUGAUGGUUGGAAAGUUUUUUCGGUGUAGGAUGAGCUCGCGGCCUAUCAGCUUGUUGGUGGGGUAAUGGCCUACCAAGGCGGCGACGGGUAGCCGGCCUGAGAGGGUGGACGGCCACAUUGGGACUGAGGUACGGCCCAGACGCCUACGGGAGGAAGCAGUGGGGAAUAUUGCACAAUGGGCGCAAGCCUGAUGCAGCGACGCCGCGUGGGGGAUGACGGCCUUCGGGUUGUAAAAUCCUUUCGCUAGGGACGAAGCUUUUUGUGACGGUACCUAGAUAAGAAGCACCGGCUAACUACGUG
rnacentral:rRNA from 1 species